ensembl:lncRNA
AGGUGAUGCAGCAGAGGAAAUGCAGAGGGGUUAUUGCUUCUAUAUCCCACACCUGGGUGCAGUGCUGCUCUGAGAAGGGAGAGGAGAAGGCAAUGAGGAGGGCUGCUGUUUCUCACCAGGAGUCUGCUCUGUGCAGGAUUACAGGAAAGUUUUCCUCCAGUGAGGAUCUGACAGACUUGGGCACUCUGUUCUGCUGAUGAAGACAAAUCCCUCAGACGCUCAGCUGCGUUAACGUGAUGUCUGAGUGUUGGUAUAGGAACACAGUGAUGAAUUGCUGCUGUUUGACACACGUGUGGGCAGCUGAUCAGUACAGAGUUUGAGGCUCCCUUCAAGUACUGGGAGAUGCUGAAGAGCACCUAUGGCAGCGAUUGGCAGCAGCUCAUUCCUCACUUGGAUAACAGAAGGCACCUGGGUGAUUUCCUGGCUUUCCUCUGGGAUGAGAAGCCCCAGAUGAAGAAGUCCACAUGUGCAGUAACACCGGCAUUGCUCCCAAUACCAGGAACACC